UAAUACAAGAACUUUAGUUGUCAUAUACUUUAAAGCAGCAACAAGAUGAGGAUCAGUAUUGUAUUUAUCUCUUUUUGUAUUGUUCUUUGCAAGGGUUUCUUGUUUGAUUCCUGCACAACAGAUGCUGACUGUAAAAAUGGAUGUUGUGUAUCAGCUACUUUUGGUCAUCACUGUAAUCAUCAUUUUUUAGCUCUCCAUGCGGCGUGUCAUCUUAGUAACAAAGAAUACUCAACAUGUGGUUGUGGACAAGGUUUAGUUUGCAAAGAUCAUAUCGAGGGGUCUCAAAUUGCUGUUGAAACCCGGCCAGGUUAUGGAUAUUGUGAGACUGGAAACAAAACAAUUUCCUCAGGAGGGGCUAUAGCAACAGAAGGAUGAGCAUAACGUGCAUUAAACUUAUAAAUUUCAAAGUAA